rnacentral:lncRNA from 1 species
CAUAGAGUUAUAGCCUCGAGUGGCUUAUAUGUGUUAUGUGUGUGGUAUUUUGGGGAACUCACUAAGCUUCGUGCUUACAGUGUUUUGUGUUAUGUUGUUUUCAGGUUUCUUUCAGUAUCACGGUACGGCACCGGCUUGAUUGUACACACCAGAGCAAGAGUCAUAUUUUGGAGGAUCCUGGUUUUCUAUGCAAGUGAAAAUGGAGCUAUGUUUUGUAAUUUGAUUAUGAAUGAGAUUUUUAACAAGUGUUCUAAGAAUAAAAUGAUUAUUUAAAAUGAAAAUUUUGUCUUGAAAUUUACGGUGUUACAAGUUGGUAUCAGAGCCUUGGUUUGAGGGAUUCGGAUGCGCCUUCGGGUAAUUCUGGACUCAAACUGAGGAAGUAAGAAAAGUUUUCAAAGAAAUAAUUUUCUAAAGCGAAUAAGAGUUCAAAGAGAAAGCGAGAAAGAGCAGUGUGUACAAUCAGCCAGAGCCCGAACGGUGAUUUCCCAAAAUACCCUUACUUUUGUGUUAUGAGAUAUUUAUGAUGCACUUUAUGAGAUAUUAUUGCAUGCUAGAGACAGGCUAGGUAUUCCAUAUAUUAGGAGUAGAGUGGCCUGAUUUGUGAUGCCUUAGCCUAGGAAUUGCUGUGAUAUGCGUUGUGCUUUUGAGUAUGUGAUGAGUGAGAAUAUUUGAUUGGAAUCCUUUAGGGGAUUUGAGUAGUGGAGUAAUCUAGGGAAGAUACCUAGAUGAGUACUGUAGUACUUGGAGAAAGAAUAGUUAGAGCCCGCGAGGGGAAGAGUUGCAGAGUUCGGUGGUACUUCCGAGGAUGAGCAGAGCAAGCGGAGUUAUCACCCAGAGUGAGUCAUAUAUAUUCUUCGAUGCUCGAAUGCUGCUUGCUUCGUGCUUUGUGGAACUCUCGAUGAUGGGAGUCAGCUACCAAGCGAAUAUGACGAUAUUCAGGAGGUAGAUGGCUGGCAUCAUUAGGAGCUCUUCAGCAGCUGAUGGCAGAGAAGUGUGGGAAUCUAAGAAGAGCCUAGGGAGUAACCUUAGCCAGAUGAGUGCACUGGCAGGGUAGAGAAUUUCGCUGGGGAGCGAGCGCGCGAUGGAAUUGGUGAACGAGAAGGUCGAGCAGCUACUUAGGAGCUCCGGGAUAGUCCGUGUGGAAAGUAUGGGUAGAUGUGGAAGGUAGUAUGGGCCCGUACUACUGAAAGCAGAGGACCCAUACUUGAUACAGGGAGUAUUCUGAAGAUUCUAAUGAGCGCAUUAAGGAGUGAUGUAUGGUUCGAGUACCAUACAUCAGAGCAGAUUGAGGAGUGAUGUUAUGGUUCGAGUACCAUACAUUGGAGCGGAUUGAGGAGUGAUGUUAUGGUUGAGUACCAUACAUCGGAGCAGAUUGAGGAGUGAUGAUAUGGUUGAGUACCAUACAUCGGAGCAGAUUGAGGAGUGAUGUUAUGGUUCGAGUAUCAUACAUCGGAGCAGAUGGAGGAGUGAUGCUAUGGUUCGGGUACCAUACACCGGAGCAUAUUGAGAAGAGAUGUCAUGGGAUGAGUACCAUGGUUCGUAGUGAAUGAUGCUUGUGAUUCUCUGGUUAUCCGGUCACGAUUGAUGAGGUAGAGAUUGGACGCUAUGGGUUUUAGGCCUGUAGGCCAUGAUUGAAUUUGGAGAGGCGUCCCUCGAGAGGGAAGUCGAGAGCCUAUCAGAGUAUUUUGGUAAGGAGUUAGAGGGAGAGGAGAAUUUCGGUCUGAGUUGAGCAAUCAGUCGAUAGAGGAGAGGUCACCUUCUAUGUGAGUGGUGCUAUUUAUGUUCGUGUGCGGAACAUGAAAGGCCUGAUGUUUUAGUUUUGGGUUUGGGGGUAAACCCUGCAGGUCGUUAUUGAUGAUGAUUUCUUCCAGAGUAUCAGGUAGCAUGUGUGCCGCGAGGCAGUGAUUUGUCAUGAGCAGAUAGUCAGUUGGGACUGAGAUAGUCGAGGACCACACUACACCUAUUUGAGUAUAGUAGGAUGUAUUAUAGUGGUAUCAGUGGGGAGUUCAGUCGAGUUUAGCAGUGCAGAGAGUUUUCUAUCUAUGUUGGGUGUUGAAUAUGGGAGUGGGUCCCUGUUCUUGGGAUGAUCCCGGUGUUGGAGCGAUGUUUGAUGAGUUGAGGUGAGGGGUACGAUGAUUUUGUGGUUCGGUCUAUGAGCCAGGGAUGUUAUUGAGCAGUUGAGUUGUUUGGUACUUGAUUGGUACGAGAUUUGGAACGACUAGAGGCAGUCGUGGCGAAAAGUUCUUGAGGAGUUCAUCUGAGGAUCAGAGUUAUGAGAUCGAUUAAUUUCCUUAAAGGGGAUUAUCGGGUGUUGCGUAGCACUUUCCAGGGGCAGGUGCGUUAUUGCUGGUGGAAAUAGUUCGUGAGGUUGUUGAUGUGUCAGAUAGUGAUGGUUCGAACCCUAAGUGGGGGAGAACUGGGUGGUUUAUUGAGAGAACCAGAGAUUGGUGCAAGGAGCGGUUAGGGGUUGGAUGCAGAACCUGCGGCUUGAAUUCAUGAGAUCAGGGUCAUGGGUGAUUAAGGAAGGUGCAGGGCGAGAUAAUGCAUGUGAUAUAUGUCUAAGAGAAGGAUGGGUGUCUCCACGGCGGGUGGUCAACGAUCAGGAAUCUGAUGGUGGUCAGAGUCGUCUCAAGUGGAAGGCUCGUAAUGAUGGUAUGGGCAGUUGAGAACUUCUGGGUUGAGAUAUGGGUAGCCGAUUAUCGAGUAGCCAAUUCCCGGGCUAGGAUGUGUAUUCUUGCUUGAAUUUUGAGUGGUAGUGGAAAGGGUUUCGGAGGAUCAUCAGUGUGUUCUGAAGGGUUAGCGCCUUCCUUGUAUUCCAAUUGAGUGUUUGGAUGCACUGAAGUUGCGCAUCGUGUGAUAUCAGAAAUUAUUAUGGGAUUCAGAGGAAAUGUAUUGUCGUGAGUGUAUGGUAUUGGGAGUAAGGGAAUCAGUGGUUGUGGCAGGAUCUUGUGAUGUUCUGUUGGGAUAUUCUGAGGUAUCCGGGUAUGAUACCUUUAUUUCGGAGUUACUCGUAAAUCUUGAGUUGAAACGAUUUGUGGUGUAUCAGGUAUCUACGGAUCUAGUGGGAGCCCUUCGAGUAUGGGCAUCCAGGGAGAUUAUUAAGAGAAUGGAACUUCGCAAGGGUGGGCAUUUUGAUAUGUCGAUUGCUUCCAGAGUCUGGAAUGUGUAUUCGAGCCGAGUAUGGGUAGCUACCUGUGAUAGUCUGCGGAGCAUGAGCUAGUGGAGUCAGAGGGUGUUGUGAUACUGCGGGGAGCCGUAGUACUCACUAGUCAGAGGGUGUUGUGAUACUGCGGGGAGCCGUAGUACUCACUAGUCAGAGGGUGUUGUGAUACUGCGGGGAGCCGUAGUACUCACUAGUCAGAGGGUGUUGUGAUGCUGCGGGGAGCCGUAGUACUCACUAGUCAGAGGGUGUUGUGAUGCUGCGGGGAGCCGUAGUACUCACUAGUCAGAGGGUGUUGUGAUGCUGCGGGGAGCCGUAGUACUCACUAGUCAGAGGGUGUUGUGAUGCUGCGGGGAGCCGUAGUACUCACUAGUCAGAGGGUGUUGUGAUACUGCGGGGAGCCGUAGUACUCAGGAGUCAGAGGGUGUUGUGAUACUGCGGGGAGCCGUAGUACUCACUAGUCAGAGGGUGUUGUGAUACUGCGGGGAGCCGUAGUACUCACGAGUCAGAGGGUGUUGUGAUACUGCGGGGAGCCGUAGUACUCACUAGUCAGAGGGUGUUGUGAUACUGCGGGGAGCCGUAGUACUCACGAGUCAGAGGGUGUUGUGAUACUGCGGGGAGCCGUAGUACUCACUAUUCUGAGGGUGUUGUGAUACUGCAUGGAGCCGUAGUACUCACGAGUCAGAGGGUGUUGUGAUACUGCGGGGAGCCGUAGUACUCACUAGUCAGAGGGUGUUGUGAUACUGCGGGGAGCCGUAGUACUCACUAGUCAGAGGGUGUUGUGAUACUGCGGGGAGUCGUAGUACUCACUAGUCAGAGGGUGUUGUGAUACUGCGGGGAGCCGUAGUACUCACUAUUCAGAGGGUGUUGUGAUACUGCGGGGAGCCGUAGUACUCACUAGUCAGAGGGUGUUGUGAUACUGCGGGGAGCCGUAGUACUCACUAGUCAGAGGGUGUUGUGAUACUGCGGGGAGCCAUAGUACUCACUAGUCAGAGGGUGUUGUGAUACUGCGGGGAGCCGUAGUACUCACUAGUCAGAGGGUGUUGUGAUACUGCGGGGAGCCGUAGUACUCACUAGUCAGAGGGUGUUGUGAUACUGCGGGGAGCCGUAGUACUCACUAGUCAGAGGGUGUUGUGAUACUGCGGGGAGCCGUAGUACUCACUAGUCAGAGGGUGUUGUGAUACUGCGGGGAGCCGUAGUACUCACUAUUCAGAGGGUGUUGUGAUACUGCGUGGAGUCGCAGUACUCACUAGAUGGCAAGAGAAUGUGAUGUUGGAAUGUUUUCCGAGCAGUGUAUGAAGUGGAAGAUUUUUGGGUUUGAGUAGCCCUAGUAUUGAGUCUUUGGAGCCUGGAUGUUGAAUCGGGGGCGAGACUGGGGUCUCCGUCUCUGUCGGGAGAUGCGGUGAGAUGCGCAAGGGAUAUGCGCAGCAGAAACCAGAGAUCAGGGCUGAGACGAUCCUCGAUUGGAUCGUAUUCUUCUCGCAUGAGGAAACGAGGAUUUCGUGACUUGCGUGUCACUGGGCAAGGAGAGUGGUCACGGGGAAAAGGUUAGUGAGAUGUUUGGAUCAUGUUAUGGGAGACCUUUGGAGGCUCAGCUGUGGAGUCAAAAGCUGACCUGGUGCUUAGUCUCGAAGAGGGAUAUGAGAAAUGAGCUAGAGCUUAUCAUGAGGUUGUCUAAGGACACCCCAGAGCGAGUGAGCGAUUCAGACGCUCGAAGUCAUGCUUCGGGCAUGUGUAUUAGAUUUCGGAGGAAGCUGCGGCACGUAAUUAUCCUUGGUUGAGUUGUCCUAUAUCAACAGCCAUCAUUAGUGCAUUGGUAUGCCGCCCUUUGAGCUGUUGUAUAGGAGGUGGUGUCGGACCCUCAUUUGCUGAGGAGAGGUAACGCAUGGACCCGAGAGUCCUUGCGAGCAGAUCCAGAGCAUGUGCGAUACAUGGAGUAGUGACAAGGUUGUCAAGUGGAUUUCUCUAGGUAAGGGAAGAGAAAGGUAUGUAACCCCAUAGGGGGGGGGGAAGUGUUGGUUCACGGAAGUGAAGGUAGUAGUGCGAAUGGAUGAUUUAGAGUAUGAGGGUUGAACGUGGUGUCCGUUACAGUGGUAUGGAAUGACAUCGUGAUGAGAUGUCUGCUGAGGACGCGGAAGGGAUUCCACGGGUGUAGAGCCAGGAGGCUCGGAAGGGAUCCAGGGAGAGAAUCCUGGACUCUCAGUGUGAUUCUGAUCAGGGUAUUGGGUAUGUAUCAGUGGUUCAUCCUGGGGGGAUGUUUGAGGAUAUCAUCAGUGUAUCGGGUCUUCCAACCUGUGGGUGUUGGGGCUAGUUCAGCAUGUGUAUGUGAUUGCAAGAGGAGAACUCGUGAGAGUUUCUCUGAGAGUGAGAAUGGGUCUCUCAGUCGUUCCGGAAUGGAUAGAGUGGGUUUUGCAUCGGGGAUCCGGUGGUUCAUGGUUUCCUAACCCUUAUGGGUCGAGUGAUCGUUGAGAUUUAGAGCAGAGUUGCAUCUUGGGUAAUUCUCGGUUAUUGAGAGUGAUGAUCAGGGGUACAGUCGAUGCUCGGUUCGAGAUGGUGAUCAGGACACCGUGAAGGAGGGAGAAAGUAUGUUCGAGUUUCGAUAUUUAUGCCUUAAGAGACCUGGGCCGGUUAAGGCCCGGUGGAGCGUUGUGGGAAUACCCUUGGAGUUGAGUUGCUGUAGGCUUCGAGGGCGAAGCCUAAUAUAAGUGGGGGAGAAUUGUAACAUCCCGGAAUAGCAAGAGUAGAGUUGAAGGGCUAAAAGUGUUAUUUGGGAAAGAGCGACUCGGCGAGUCCAUGGAUGGACUCGGCGAGUAGAGUCGCGGCUUGGUCGCGUGUUAAGUAGCCGACUCGGCGAGUCGAUGAGAUGGACUCGGCGAGUAGGCGCUGAGUGGAGAAAGCCCUAAUUCUCGGGGUUGAGCCCUAUUUAAAGAACAUUAUAUCCUUCCCCCAGCCUCUUUAUUCCCUCUUGAAGUCCAGAAACCCUAGAAAGUGUGAUUGAAGAAGAUUGGAGUGUAUUUGGAGCAUUGGAGGAGUUUGUUGAAGGAAUCUUGUGAGAUUGAAGGCUUGGGGCAAGGGGCUUUGCUUGGAUUCGAAUUUCAUUGCAGUUGGGGCGUCCAUUGGAGGUAACAUCUCGUUCUUGGAUUGAUUGUAUGUUGUUUCUUCAUUUUGGGGUUUGUGGGAUCUAGUCUAUGGGUGAAAUUGGAAGUCUAGAGGUUAGAUCUGAGGUUGCUACCUCAGAUCUGAAAUGGAGAAGAAUCAGAGAGCAUGAAAGUCCCUGUGUUGGACUGUUUAGUGAAGCUUGCAUGUCCCAAACCCUAGUUAUAAGUGAAUAAGGCCUAGAUCUCUUUGGAUUCACGUAAAGUUUGCCACUUUACGUGAUGGAUGAGUUGUAUGAGACUAGACCUAUGUUUUGGAUCAUUUGCAUGGCCUGGAAUGCUUCUGAGUGGAUUCAGACCGGUGGUACUCGGCGAGUCACAUGAGUGGACUCGACGAGUUGCUUGAAGAUGAGCUGGAACUCGGCGAGUUGGAAGAACAACUCGACGAGUUGGAUGAAGAUGGCCUGGAACUCGGCGAGUUGUAUGAACAACUCGGCGAGUAGGUUGAUGAUAGUCUUAGACUCGGCGAGUCUGUUCUUGGACUCGGCGAGUCUUGUCGAAGAGUCCCGAUAUUCCCUGGUUGAGUCGAGAAUCGGUGAGUCAAGGGAUGACUCGGUGAGUUGUGUGCGAGUGGACUCAGAGUUGUUGGACUCGGCGAGUCUCGGAGUGACUCGGCGAGUUAGGUCGCGGAUUGAGUGAAGUUCUGAUUAUAGGAACUCGGCGAGUCAUAGGGUUGACUCGGCGAGUAGGGUCAGUCAGGGGUUGACUUUGACUGAGGACUUUGAUUUUGACCAAGGGUUGACCGUUGACUUUUAGGGUUUGGUCAGCGAUGUGGCCUUUGGGCCAAGAGAGGGGUAAAAUAUUCUUUUACCCUUAAGAAGGUGCAUUGAGAGGAUUGAUUCUAGUCUCGAGAGUUACAGUCAUGAGAGUUUUGCCUUACGUGUUAGGCGGUGGCGAGUUCGAGAUUCAAGUAUGGAGAUAUCUGCUUUCUGCUUGCCAGGUGAGUCUUCUCACUAUACUUUACCUUGAGUAGGUAACCAGAGUUAUGUGACAGAGUAUUUGUAUGCUAUGUAUGUUAUGUGUUGUACUGCAUUAUUUCUAUGUGAUUUAUGUUGUGCAUGUUUGCAGAGUUGGAACCGAAGGGUUCCUAGAGUUAGAACCGGAAGGUUCACAGAGUUAGAACCUGAGGGUUCACAGAGUUUGGGUGCACGGACCCAUAGAGUUAUAGCCUCGAGUGGCUUAUAUGUGUUAUGUGUGUGGUAUUUUGGGGAACUCACUAAGCUUCGUGCUUACAGUGUUUUGUGUUAUGUUGUUUUCAGGUUUCUUUCAGUAUCACGGGACGGCACCGGCUUGAUUGUACACAUCAGAGAAAGAGUCAUAUUUUGGAGGAUCCUGGUUUUCUAUGCAAGUGAAAAUGAAGCUAUGUUUUGUAAUUCAAUUAUGAAUGAGAUUUUAAACAAGUGUUUUAACAUUAAAAUGAUUAUUUUAAAUG